UUCCUUUAGAAGAGAUUAUAGGUAAAACCUGCUCCAUGAAAAAUAAUAAAUAGCUGCAGGAGACUGUACUAAGGUAGCAUAAUCAUUUGUUUUUUAAUUGAAAACUAGAAUGAAGGGUUUAACGAAUUUUAAAAAAUCCUUUUUAAAAAAGUUGAAAUUAAUUUUUUUUUAAAAAAGAAAAGAUAAUUUUUAGGGACGAGAAGACCCUAAAAAGCUUAUAUGAAUUUUUAACUAGUUAAAAAUUCUAAUUUAGUUGGGGCAACUUAAUAAGAAAAAAAUCUUGAUUUUAAAUGAUCCAAAAUUUUUGAUUAAAAAUAAAGUUACUUUAGGGAUAACAGCAUAAUAAAACUAUUCAAGAUCAAAUUGAAUAGUUUGUUUGUGACCUCGAUGUUGGAUUAAUUUUCCUAAAAGAGGAAUAAUAUUUUUAAGGUCGUCUGUUCGACGAAUAAUUUAUUACA
rnacentral:rRNA from 1 species